rnacentral:rRNA from 1 species
AGAGUUUGAUCCUGACUCAGAUUGAACGCUGGCGGCAGGCCUAACACAUGCAAGUCGAACGGUAACAGGAAGCAGCUUGCUGCUUCGCUGACGAGUGGCGGACGGGUGAGUAAUGUCUGGGAAACUGCCUGAUGGAGGGGGAUAACUACUGGAAACGGUAGCUAAUACCGCAUAACGUCGCAAGACCAAAGAGGGGGACCUUCGGGCCUCUUGCCAUCGGAUGUGCCCAGAUGGGAUUAGCUUGUUGGUGGGGUAACGGCUCACCAAGGCGACGAUCCCUAGCUGGUCUGAGAGGAUGACCAGCCACACUGGAACUGAGACACGGUCCAGACUCCUACGGGAGGCAGCAGUGGGGAAUAUUGCACAAUGGGCGCAAGCCUGAUGCAGCCAUGCCGCGUGUAUGAAGAAGGCCUUCGGGUUGUAAAGUACUUUCAGCGGGGAGGAAGGGAGUAAAGUUAAUACCUUUGCUCAUUGACGUUACCCGCAGAAGAAGCACCGGCUAACUCCGUGCCAGCAGCCGCGGUAAUACGGAGGGUGCAAGCGUUAAUCGGAAUUACUGGGCGUAAAGCGCACGCAGGCGGUUUGUUAAGUCAGAUGUGAAAUCCCCGGGCUCAACCUGGGAACUGCAUCUGAUACUGGCAAGCUUGAGUCUCGUAGAGGGGGGUAGAAUUCCAGGUGUAGCGGUGAAAUGCGUAGAGAUCUGGAGGAAUACCGGUGGCGAAGGCGGCCCCCUGGACGAAGACUGACGCUCAGGUGCGAAAGCGUGGGGAGCAAACAGAAGUAGAUACCCUGGUAGUCCACGCCGUAAACGAUGUCGACUUGGAGGUUGUGCCCUUGAGGCGUGGCUUCCGGAGCUAACGCGUUAAGUCGACCGCCUGGGGAGUACGGCCGCAAGGUUAAAACUCAAAUGAAUUGACGGGGGCCCGCACAAGCGGUGGAGCAUGUGGUUUAAUUCGAUGCAACGCGAAGAACCUUACCUGGUCUUGACAUCCACGGAAGUUUUCAGAGAUGAGAAUGUGCCUUCGGGAACCGUGAGACAGGUGCUGCAUGGCUGUCGUCAGCUCGUGUUGUGAAAUGUUGGGUUAAGUCCCGCAACGAGCGCAACCCUUAUCCUUUGUUGCCAGCGGUCCGGCCGGGAACUCAAAGGAGACUGCCAGUGAUAAACUGGAGGAAGGUGGGGAUGACGUCAAGUCAUCAUGGCCCUUACGACCAGGGCUACACACGUGCUACAAUGGCGCAUACAAAGAGAAGCGACCUCGCGAGAGCAAGCGGACCUCAUAAAGUGCGUCGUAGUCCGGAUUGGAGUCUGCAACUCGACUCCAUGAAGUCGGAAUCGCUAGUAAUCGUGGAUCAGAAUGCCACGGUGAAUACGUUCCCGGGCCUUGCACACACCGCCCGUCA